AUUAAUAUAUUAGAAUUUUUUUAAUAUAUUUAUUUUUAUUAUAAUUAAGAAUUCAAGAAAUUUGAAUGUAAUUCUAGGUAAAAUAUUGAUAAUGACAAAGUUUUAUCUAUACGUCUUGACCAAAUCUUGUGCCAGCAGUCGCGGCAACACAAGGAAGACAAGUGUUAUUCAUCUUAAAUCGGUUUAAGGGGUACCUAGACGGUAAAUUAGCCCUUAAAUGUGGAACGUUUUACUAGAGUUAUAUAUGCAUGAGGNUUAUAUGUGAGUAUUACCAGAGUAGAGAUGGAAUUUUUUGA
rnacentral:rRNA from 1 species